rnacentral:rRNA from 2 species
CAGCCGCCGCGGUAAUACCAGCACCCCAAGUGGUCGGGACGAUUAUUGGGCCUAAAGCAUCCGUAGCCGGUCCUGCAAGUCCUCCGUUAAAUCCACCCGCUCAACGGUUGGGCCGCGGGGGAUACUACAGGGCUAGGAGGCGGGAGAGGCAAGCGGUACUCGAUGGGUAGGGGUAAAAUCCACUGAUCCAUUGAGGACCACCAGUGGCGAAGGCGGCUUGCCAGAACGCGCUCGACGGUGAGGGACGAAAGCUGGGGGAGCAAACCGGAUUAGAUACCCGGGUAGUCCCAGCUGUAAACGAUGCAGACUCGGUGAUGGGCUGGCUUCGUGCCAACCCGGUGCCGCAGGGAAACCGUUAAGUCUACCGCCUGGGGAGUACGGUCGCAAGACUGAAGCUUAAAGGAAUUGGCGGGGGAGCAC